rnacentral:lncRNA from 1 species
GAUUGGAGCUCCAAAUACGACAUCAUCUAUAGCAGAUGGGCCUUACAAUCCUCGAAACUGUCGAUAAAUCUACCGACGGCAAUGUCGAUGGCCUCCCUCUUAAACUCUACAGAGUCCCGAUACUCCUGAAUGCAACAAACCCUGACGUCAGGAGGAAUCUGCUCGAAUUGGGGGGUGUGAUGACCUAUGAGCCUUGGCAGAGACCGUGAGGCAGAAGGCAUCUGAUGAGAGCA